rnacentral:tRNA from 2 species
GUGCUUCUCGGUGAUCACCGGAAACACAGAGUGACAACCUUGCCAAGGUUGGGGUCGAGGGUUCGAAUCCCUUCGCCCGCUCCA